GUCGGGCCAUAUGUUAGUGUAGAAAAGUCCAAUGAUUUAGUUUUCUUUAUAGGGACUCUGGGGUGGCAUGAUAGCCGGAGUAGGUUUGCAGACGCUGUUGCUCUUACUGGUACUGUACAAAACCAACUGGAACACGGAGGUUCGUAUUAAUGGUUUCUCUACAUUGCUCAUUUGUAGGAUGUGUACGGAUUUUAAGUGGCUUUUUGUAACGUGUUGGAUAAUUUUCUUUUUUAUAACUUAUAAGGUAAAAAAGGUCCCUCAACCUUACUGUUUGGAUAAACUUCUCUCAUUUCCAAUCGAUUAAAGUUGUUUUAAAACUUAAAAGUAAUACUUAACCAAAAAAACUCCUAAUACGUCGAGUAAAUGUUUCUUUUACUUGUCGAUGAUGAUGUUUAAAUUUGUAUGUGCGCACUCCUGGCAUGAUUUUCCAUUAUAGGAAGAUUUCUUUCAUGGGUUAUUUUGCAAUUCUUAGUUUCGUAGUUCCAUUUUGAUCAAUGUAUUAUCUUACCAACUACAAAUUGCAGGUUGAGCAAACAUCAGAGCGUAUGCGAAAGUGGGGAGGGCAAGACGUAAUUGACAAAUCACAUACUGACCAACUUCCUUCAAAAAAUGGAAUUCCUUAAUUGCACGCUUGGUCGCAUCACUGGCUAUGAUAUGACCAUAUAAUAAAUAAAGAUUUUUUUACUCCAACACAACGAUGCUUGAUGUUUUAAGAGAUUGGUUGCUCGUAUGUUUAAAUUUCGUUAUUGUAAUUUUGUGCUCAUUAGCCUGUGUUUCAUUUUCGAUUAUUUUAAGAAAGGUGAUUUUUUUUGGCAAGCAAAAGUGGUGAUUAAAAUGAAUAAAAUAAAUGUGGGUGACAGAUUAAUAA
rnacentral:lncRNA from 1 species